rnacentral:misc_RNA from 1 species
AAAGUCGUAACAAGGUCUCCGUAGGUGAACCUGCGGAGGGAUCAUUACAAGUGACCCCCGGUCUAACCACCGGGAUGUUCCUAUAACCCUUUGUUCGUCCGACUCUGUUGCCUCCGGGCGACCCUGCCUUGCGGGCGGGGGCUCCGGUAGGACACUUCAAACUCUUGCGUAACUUUGCAGUCUGAGUAAACUUAAUUAAUAAAUUAAAA